GGGUGAGUAAAAGGUAGGAAUCUACCCCUUGGACGGAGAUAGCUACUGGAAACGGUAGGUAAACUUCGAUAAGCCCGAGAGGGGAAAGUGGUGAGACAGCCGAGGGAUGAGCCUACUCUCCAUCAGGUAGUUGGUGAGAUAAAAGCUUACCAAGCCGAUGACGGAUAACCGGUGUGAGAGCAUGAACGGUCACAAGGGCACUGAGAGACGGGCCCUACUCCCACGGGAGGCAGCAGUGGGGAAUCUUGGACAAUGGGCGAAAGCCUGAUCCAGCGACGCCGCGUGGAGGAAGAAGUCCUUCGGGAUGUAAACUUCUGAACUAGCCGAAUAAAAGGCCUGUGGACACACAGGAGAAGAAAGUAGGCUAGGAAAAGUCCCGGCUAACUACGUGCCAGCAGCCGCGGUAAGACGUAGGGGGCAAGCGUUACCCGGAAUUACUGGGCGUAAGGGGGGCGUAGGCGGUAAAAGAAGUCAUCUGUGAAAACCUAUUGCUCAACGAUAGGCUAGCGGAUGAAACUGAAUUACUUGAGGGCACCAGAGGUAGACGGAAUUACCCGAGUAGGGGUGAAAUCCGCAGAUACGGGUAGGAACGCCGGUGGAGAAGUCGGUCUACUGGGGUACACCAGACGCUGAGGCCCGAAAGCUAGGGGAGCAAACCGGAUUAGAUACCCGGGUAGUCCUAGCCGUAAACGAUGCUCACUAGGUGUAGGGAGUGAUAAACUCUCUGUGCUGAAGCGAACGCGCUAAGUGAGCCGCCUGGGGAGUACGUCCGCAAGGAUGAAACUCAAAGGAA
rnacentral:rRNA from 1 species